UGGGGGAUCGUCCAAUGGCAGGACUGCAGACUCUGGAUCUGCCUAUCUAGGUUCGAAUCCUAGUCCCCCAG
rnacentral:tRNA from 1 species